UCACGGUCGGGCUCGGAUUCGCUUGGUGCAGGUCGGGAACUGAUUGGCUGGUUACAUCCACGUGGAUUUUUCUUAUUGGUUUGUGAAAAACAGUGAUUGGAUCCCGCCUUGCAUCAACUGAAUCGGAGCCUCGAUGGUGCAA
rfam:Arabis alpina cultivar Pajares chromosome 7, whole genome shotgun sequence.